UUGACAGCUUUGGAAACUCAAGGACACUAAUUAUCACAGAACAGGUACAAUAUGUCUAGUGGCAGCACAAAUCAUUUCAUUGUCCUGCCAAUGUGCCUCAGAUACAUUUCUUAGAACCUUACAGAGUAUAAAGGUUCUAAGACUCCUUCCCAGGUCAGUCUUUGGUAAGA
rnacentral:sRNA from 1 species